GACAGAGGGUGCAAACGUUGUUCGGAAUUACUGGGCGUAAAGCGAGUGUAGGCGGUGUGGUAAGUCGGAUGUGAAAGCCCCGGGCUCAACCCGGGAAGUGCACUCGAUACUGCCACGCUAGAGUAUCGGAGAGGUUGGUGGAAGUUCUCGGUGUAGAGGUGAAAUUCGUAGAUAUCGAGAGGAACACCGGUGGCGAAGGCGGCCAACUGGACGAAUACUGACGCUGAGACUCGAAAGCGUGGGGAGCAAACAGG
rnacentral:rRNA from 1 species